AUUUUGAGUACUGUCCAGCCCAGGCGACUUCUUACUACCAUCAUUAUGUCUUCUGAAGAAGGAAAACUAUUUGUUGGGGGGCUGAACUUUGAUACUGAUGAACAAGGCCUUGAACAGCAUUUCAGCUCUUUUGGUCCUAUUUCUGAAGUGGUUGUGAUCAAAGACAAAGAAACACAGCGAUCAAGAGGCUUUGGUUUUAUUACCUUUUCCAAUCCUGAUCAUGCAUCAGAUGCCAUGAGAGCAAUGAAUGGAGAGUCUAUAGAUGGGCGUCAGAUCAGAGUUGAUCAUGCUGGGAAAUCUCGUGGAUCCAGAGGUGGCUACUUUGGAGGCAGGGGACGAGGUCGUGGCUAUUCCCGAGGUGGAGACAGAAGCUAUGGUGGAGACAGAAGCUAUGGUGGAGACAGAAGCUAUGGUGGACGGUACGAUAGCCGAAGCGGAGGCUACAGUAGUUCCCGUGACUACAGCAGAAGUCAAGGAAACUAUAAUGAUCGAUACUCCUCAGGAGGUUCAUAUAGAGACAACUAUGACAACUGAGGCAAGAAGAUUAUAAGUGGUUAUUCUGCCUAAAAUAAUAACCAUUGACCUCUGAAGUAAGGAACAAGGAGAUUGCUGCUUCACCAAGGUUUUAAAAACCACACUAAAGACUUUCUGUUCUAUUUGCUAGAAUAGUAUAACAGUGAACCAGAGAAGAAGGGAGCCAAGAUUGUCCAAUCAGAUUGCAGGAAUUCACACCUAUCAAAAUUGUUGUAACAAGUAUAACAGACCAAGAGGACUUGUCACUAGGUUGUAUUAGAUUGCUGGAAAUACAUCCACCCACAAGGACUUUUUUCUGAUUAGCUAACUAGUUCUAUCUAAGAAUCCAUGCAAAAUUGGAAGACAUCGUAAUCACCUUACUGAAUUUGUGUAUUGAUGAAUAACUAUUCUGAUCCUGUAAUGGUUUUACAAGUUGGGGAAAUGGAUGUACAUAUCUACAGUUGUGUAAUUCUUGGCCUAAAUUUUCUAUGAAUGUCAGAUCAAAGUAAGAGAAUCCUUAAUGCUUUUGCUUAGAUCAUGCAUUAAUGCUAUACAGUUGGUUAUUGUUGGGUUUUUUUAAAAAGUAUGUUCUCUCUACCCUUAAAACUUUCAUUUCCAAAACUGUCAAUAUAGCAAAGUUUCUAAUAAAGUGUACUGAUUGAACAGUUA